rnacentral:rRNA from 1 species
UUUGCCGCUUUCAGUGUUUUUAUGGCACUUUAAUCCAUAUCCACCUUGUGUGCAAUGUCAUCUCACUGGGGUUACGUUUGUAAAAUUUCGUGAUCCGUUUGGGAUUUAUAUCUACUCAGAACUUUAGUCAUUUUGUCUGAAACAUAUUAUGAAUAACUUAAUUCAAAAUACAACUUUCAACAACGGAUCUCUUGGCUCUCGCAUCGAUGAAGAACGCAGCGAAAUGCGAUACGUAAUGUGAAUUGCAGAAUUCAGUGAAUCAUCGAAUCUUUGAACGCAUAUUGCGCUCUCUGGUAUUCCGGAGAGCAUGCUUGUUUGAGUAUCAGUAAACACCUCAACUCCCUUUCUUCUUGAAAUGGAGCUGGACUUGAGUGAUCCCAACGCUUUAUUCAUAAAGUGGCGGGUUACUUGAAAUGCAGGUGCAGCUGGACUUUUCUCUGAGCUAUAAGCAUAUCUAUUUAGUCUGCCUCAAAAACAGAUUAUUACCUUUGCUGCAGCUAACAUAAAGGAGAUUAGUUCUUGUGCUGACUGAUGCAGGAUUCACAAAGACCGCUUCGGCUGUCUUUGUAAACUCGAUCUCAAAUCAAGUAAGACUACCCGCUGAACUUAAGCAUAUCAAUAAGCGGAGGAAAGGAUCAUUCAUAAUCAAGUGUUUUUAUGGCACUUUAAAUCCAUAUCACCUUGUGUGUAUGUCAUCUCUUGUGGUUAGGUUGGAAAAAUUUAGUGAUCCGUUUGGGAUUUUAUCAACUCUAACUUUUAGC